GUUUCUUACUCCACAUGAAGAAAUUUCUUGUACAAAAAAGGGAGGGAUGCCCAAGGCAAAAUAAACAAGAUAUUUCUCUUUGAUACAUUUAGCCACUUAAGUGACUUGUGUUUCUGUAUUUAGAUUGCCUAAAAAAGUAUCCUGUCUUUGGCUGUUUUUCCAUCACAAAACUUGGCAUAGUCGGCAGGAACACACAAGCAUUGGGACCAGGAGCUAAAUAGAAAACUUCCAGGGAAUUGCAGAGGUCAGGGUCCCUGCAGUUUCUUUAAGCAAGGUUUGAGGAAACCUGCUCAGCACUGACUUCAUAGGAGUCUGGUAAGGAAUACGAUGUACUCUAGAGAGCGACGGUUUGGGAAGAUCCUUGGUAAGUUAUUCU